rnacentral:rRNA from 1 species
CUUUUGUACGGAACGAAACGGUCUGCUCUAAUAAAGUGGGCUAAUGACGGUACCGUAAGAAUAAGCACCGGCUAACUACGUGCCAGCAGCCGCGGUAAUACGUAGGGUGCGAGCGUUAAUCGGAAUUACUGGGCGUAAAGCGUGCGCAGGCGGUUAUAUAAGACAGUUGUGAAAUCCCCGGGCUCAACCUGGGAAUUGCAUCUGUGACUGUAUAGCUAGAGUACGGUAGAGGGGGAUGGAAUUCCGCGUGUAGCAGUGAAAUGCGUAGAUAUGCGGAGGAACACCGAUGGCGAAGGCAAUCCCCUGGACCUGUACUGACGCUCAUGCACGAAAGCGUGGGGAGCAAACAGGAUUAGAUACCCUGGUAGUCCACGCCCUAAACGAUGUCAACUGGUUGUUGGGUGCAUUAGUACUCAGUAACGAAGCUAACGCGUGAAGUUGACCGCCUGGGGAGUACGGCCGCAAGGUUGAAACUCAAA